CCUACGGGUGGCAGCAGUGAGGAAUAUUGGGCAAUGGGCGGGAGCCUGAACCAGCCAAGCCGCGUGAGGGACGACGGUCCUAUGGAUUGUAAACCUCUUUUGUCGGGGAACAAAGGCGCCCACGGGCGGGCGGAUGAGUGUACCCGAAGAAAAAGCAACGGCUAACGCUGUGCCAGUAGCCGCGGUAAUACGGAGGAUGCGAGCGUUAUCCGGAUUCAGUGGGCUUAAAGGGUGCGUAGGUGGACAGUCAAGUCUGCGGUAAAAGUGCGGUGCUCAACGCCGUACAGCCGUUGAAACUGGCAGUCUUGAGUGGGCGAGAGGUAUGUGGAAUGCGUGGUGUAGCGGUGAAAUGCAUAGAUAUCACGAAGAACUCCGAUGGCGAAGGCAGCAUACCGGCGCCCAACUGACGCUGAGGCACGAAAGCGUGGGUAUCGAACAGGAUUAGAUACCCUUGUAGUC
rnacentral:rRNA from 1 species